rnacentral:misc_RNA from 1 species
CCGAGUUCUCGGGCUUCGGCUCGAAUCUCCCACCCUUUGUGAACAUACCUCUGUUGCUUUGGCGGCUCUUUGCCGCGAGGAGCUACAACUUCUCGCGCGCUUUCCGCCAGAGGACCUUCAAACUCCAGUCAGUGAACGUCGACGUCUGAUAAACAAGUUAAUAAACUA